CCUGUAAUACCUUUGUGGUAAGGGUUUGGGUAUAUGCAUCAAGAAUAGACAUAGUAUACAUGUUUUAUAGGA
rnacentral:tRNA from 1 species